rnacentral:lncRNA from 1 species
UCUCAUGUCAACACUAUGAGAAAUAUUUCCAUUUAAGACUGAUUAAGAAACAAACAAACAUUCCUUAUACCGUAACACUUAAUUAGAUAAGAGUCUAAAGAGACUUUAAAACCUAAUCUAUCAUGUGACAUAACAAUGUAAUAAAAAUGUCAUAUUAUAGCUCAUCUAACACCAGUCCGAAUUGCAAUGGAUCUGUCCAAUUAAGCGCAUCAGGUCAUAAAUCCCCCGCUGUCACGACGUAGUGGAUUAGUGCGAGAGAACAUACAGGCUCUGAUUAAGGACUUUAUUCAGGUAUGUCGGUUCAUAAAGACGCCUGAUGUCGGGACGGUGAAGGCACGUCUACAAGAUAAUGUGGUGUAAACAGAUGGUAAACGUAAUUUCCGGACACAGAUGCGACUUGCAAGGGUCAAAAUCUUUAAAUUAUGAUCUCUAUGUGCAUGCGAAUAUCUUCAGCCGACUUGUGAAAUGUCCAAACAGCUCCAACUGCUACCUAAGAUGAUAACACGGACGAUAAAGGAAUGAAGGGUAUGUCUGCUUCACUACGAUUGACAAAACUUGCACAUCUACUUUCAAGCUGGUGAAAGCACGACUUCAAGAUGUAAGCUAAAAAAGAAGAUGGUAAUUUCCGGCUACAAGUGUCAAAAUCUUAAAAUUAGGGUCGAAGAGAAAUAUACGUCUCCUUGCGGUAAACCAGAAUACAGCACGGCAUUUUGCUUCAUAUGCGUGUUAUUCAAAAGACAACAACAGUUUAAAGCCAAA